ACCUCUCCUACAGGAAUACGUGCCAAGUGCCUUCUUCCUUCCCACUCACUAUGGCCUCACGUGCUGUGUACCAUUCCAGCCUCGCAUUCCUUCUAACUGAUGUCAGAGCAUUCCUCGAGCUUUGCUGUCUGCAUGUUACCACGGCAACCCCUACACACUGUUCUGUCACUCACGUCUUUCGAACGUCUAUAUUUUAAAUGUAUUUUCUGUUCUGUUUAAAGACCUCCGCCCAUCUGCACCAUCCUUCACUGUCUGAAACUCGUCUCUCUUUUAGUGUUUCAAAGAACAUGAAGAGAAUGUCCAACGAUCGCCAUGAGAUCCUGCAGCUCUGCCAAUGAGAUCGCGCUGCCCCGUCACCUGAUCCAAGACCCCAGGAAGUGAAAGCCGGCAAAGAAAAUUCAACAAUGUCACCAAAAUGGACAUUGUUGUGUCCCCCCCCCAUCUUCCUCUUUCUGGAGAUCCCAGGGCACUUCUUUUCUCACACAGACAUGUUAGUGAGUGUCUGGUCUGUGUUAUCUGCCAGUGCUUGUAGUACAAACACUUUGCCUCUGGGAAAGAGCGAGAUUACACUGUACAUUAGGGGUCUUCACAGGUCCACCCGAAAUACCCGAGCGGGCCCGGGUCCAAAAUUCUAAGUUUUCCAUCCGGUCUGAACCGGGUCUUGGGUCUAUGUAACUACAGCCGACAGACCCGACUGGACCCGGCCAUGGCUCUGCAUAGCCUAUAGCAUAUUUAUUUACCAGUAAAACAUAAUGUAUGCUACUGUACAAUACUGUYCAAAAUGUCUCAACCACUCUGCUUUCUCUGGUUCCUCCGAAGUGAAUCUGUAGUGACCGCUCACCCUGGAAUUAUGGUUUAAUUAGUGUAAUAGCUCUGUGAUUCUAAGGAACUAUUAUAUCUGGUUUGAGUGACUACUUGGCACUCGGCAACGCAUCCUUCAGAGAGCUGGAACCAGGCCAAAAAUUUGAAAUCUCCCUUUCUUGACACCCUCCUGAGAUCUGAGUGAUGAGUCAUGUAUCCAUGGUUAUAUCACUCUUUUUAAAAACAGAUGGAAUCAUUUAGUUUACGAUGUAAACAUGUUCCUAUAGGAAUGCCUCUGAAAUAAUGACUACCCAAAUUGUGUUUGUCACUUUGGUUGAUGUUGAGCACUUAUUCACUUUUUUGGUUCUGAUUUCAUUUCUAAAGAUUUGAGUAUCAGACUGUUACUGAACAACCGGUGUACUCAUGCUAUGAAAUGAAUGAUUUURUUGCACAGCAAAGUUGAUAUUCCUAUUGAGUGGUGUGUAUGACUGUGUCCAUAGACACAAUUUUCUCUUUCUGUCUUUCUCUCCYAAAGGAGAUUUGGACCUAGAGUGCCUAGUGCUUGUCUUGCAAGCCCAAUGCUGCUUCUGUACCCAUAUAGCUGGCCAUAGAAAUUCAGACAUAUGCUACCUUCAGAGAACAUGCAGUAUAACGUGAUUCACUUUUCUUUGUAAGCCAGCUGCUAACAUGUGUGAGCACUUAUAUCUUUGUUUUGAAAAUACGUUCUGUAAAUAGACAUGUAAAUAUAUAAGACUUGAAGGAAUGCUCAGCGUUUGGAAUGUUCAAGUCUAGAACUGAGUGGAAAGGUAUUUUGGAGAGGCUCUUUUGUACUGCUCUCUGAUUGGCUGAUUCAUACUUAAUUGUAAGUUUAAUUGUAAGUCGUGUACUACGCUGCCCUACAAAGGUAAAACGCCGUAACUACGCCAACAGUGAAACUGAGAAAAAUGGCUUUGAAGUUGUUUUGUUAGCCGGCCAAAUAUGUUCUGCAUAUCAUAUUGGCAGUACUACUUUUGUUCAUUUGUUUGCUUCUGAUACUUGAAUUUUGUUUUUUUGUAAGACAUUUUUUCUCAAACUAUUUAUUUCUAUGUAGAUUUAGAUGAUCGUUUGGAGCGGAUGGCACCUGGUCUUGCCUGAGUACUGUGUAUAACUUGUGUAUGACAAGCAAAGCGUCUGAGAGAUCAACAUGUGUACAUUCUGCAUUUGCUGGGCCAAUAAAUCUCCAGGAAAAUAA